GUCUGGCUAGCUCAAUUGGGUAGAGCAUGAGACUCUUAAUCUCAGGGUUGUGGGUUCAAGUCCUACGUCGGGUG
rfam:Mesocricetus auratus contig193243, whole genome shotgun sequence.